rnacentral:rRNA from 1 species
AACGAACGCUGGCGGCAUGCCUAACACAUGCAAGUCGAACGCCUGUAGCAAUACAGGAGUGGCGCACGGGUGAGUAACGCGUGGGAACCUGCCUAGUGGUAAGGAAUAACCGCGGGAAACUGCGGCUAAUACCUUAUGAGCCCUACGGGGGAAAGAUUUAUCGCCAUUAGAGGGGCCCGCGUCCGAUUAGCUAGUUGGUGAGGUAGCGGCUCACCAAGGCGACGAUCGGUAGCUGGUCUGAGAGGAUGAUCAGCCACACUGGGACUGAGACACGGCCCAGACUCCUACGGGAGGCAGCAGUGGGGAGUAUUGGACAAUGGGCGAAAGCCUGAUCCAGCAAUGCCGCGUGAGUGAUGAAGGCCUUAGGGUUGUAAAGCUCUUUUACCCGGGAUGAUAAUGACAGUACCGGAGAAUAAGCCCCGGCUAAC